rnacentral:tRNA from 1 species
UGGUAAUUAGUUUAAAAAAAAAUUAAUGAUUUCGACUCAUUAGAUUAUGAUGAUGUUCAUAAUUACCAAU